CCUACGGGUGGCAGCAGUGGGGAAUAUUGGACAAUGGGCGAAAGCCUGAUCCAGCCAUGCCGCGUGUGUGAAGAAGGCCUUCGGGUUGUAAAGCACUUUCAGUGGGGAAGAAAGCCUUGGGGCUAAUACCCUCGAGGAAGGACAUCACCCACAGAAGAAGCACCGGCUAACUCCGUGCCAGCAGCCGCGGUAAUACGGAGGGUGCGAGCGUUAAUCGGAAUUACUGGGCGUAAAGCGCGCGUAGGCGGUCUGAUAAGCCGGUUGUGAAAGCCCCGGGCUCAACCUGGGAACGGCAUCCGGAACUGUCAGGCUAGAGUGCAGGAGAGGAAGGUAGAAUUCCCGGUGUAGCGGUGAAAUGCGUAGAGAUCGGGAGGAAUACCAGUGGCGAAGGCGGCCUCUGGACUGACACUGACGCUGAGGUGCGAAAGCGUGGGUAGCAAACAGGAUUAGAUACCCCGGUAGUC
rnacentral:rRNA from 1 species